AAAGAUUAAGCCAUGCAUGUCUAAGUAUAAGCAAUCUAUACGGUGAAACUGCGAAUGGCUCAUUAAAUCAGUUAUCGUUUAUUUGAUAGUACCUUACUACUUGGAUAACCGUGGUAAUUCUAGAGCUAAUACAUGCUAAAAACCCCGACUUCGGAAGGGGUGUAUUUAUUAGAUAAAAAACCAAUGCCCUUCGGGGCUCCUUGGUGAUUCAUAAUAACUUAACGAAUCGCAUGGCCUUGUGCCGGCGAUGGUUCAUUCAAAUUUCUGCCCUAUCAACUUUCGAUGGUAGGAUAGUGGCCUACCAUGGUUU
rnacentral:rRNA from 1 species